rnacentral:lncRNA from 1 species
AUGCAGUGUCCCCCUGUGGUGGUUUUUGGGGCAUGGGCUGUACCCAUGGCUGGGUUUUUCUCUCCAGAUAUCUGCACAACCUUCAUCUUCCCUCUGCACCUGGCCGAGUUGCUUCAGCCUCUACAAGACACAUAUUUGAAGGAAGUUCUCUCAAUCCUGGUAAGGAAAGUGAGUGAAAGGACAUCUACAUCCUCCUCCUUCCCACUCCACCUGAGCCACCUACGCCUCUUCAGGGGGCCCCAAGGGACCUACCUUAAUCCAGAUCAAGUACCUGGUUUGAGUCUUGGGUGCGCAGUUUUCUAG